rnacentral:lncRNA from 1 species
AAAGACGGCAGCAGGGAUAGCAGGACCGAACGGAGUAGCAGACCGACGGUUGCGGGAAACAGUUGCCGCGGUUGGAACAACAACACCGGUACCAUUGCUGACUUGCUGAAGAGCGCGAACGCGGUGCGAAACUUCCGAGACCAGUUGGGACAAACGAGGAUUACCCACAACAAAAUCUUCAAUGUCACAUAGGUUCUGAAGAAGAUCAUCUGGCCAAACACCUCGGUGACGUGCCAACUCGUAUCCCAAUUCCUGCAACAAAUCAUCAAGAGAAGACAUGGUAAAAUGAGGAGAAAGUGAAUCAAAUAAAGGAAAGCAUCCUAUUUAUAGGAAGAGGGGGGGAGUACUGAUGGUACCCCCAAGUUACCAGCCCAGGCCCAUGAAGAAGUCUAGGAGCGAGGCCCAGCAAGACGAAUAGAAGAGAGCCCAAGUUAUGCCAAGGACAUUAGAUCGUUCGGAUGGUCC